UUGAUCCUGGCUCAGGAUGAACGCUGGCGGCGUGCCUAAUACAUGCAAGUCGAGCGAACAGAUGAGAAGCUUGCUUCUCUGAUGUUAGCGGCGGACGGGUGAGUAACACGUGGGUAACCUACCUAUAAGACUGGGAUAACUCCGGGAAACCGGGGCUAAUACCAGAUAAUACAUUGAACCGCAUGGUUCAAUGUUGAAAGACGGUUUCGGCUGUCACUUAUAGAUGGACCCGCGCCGUAUUAGCUAGUUGGUAAGGUAACGGCUUACCAAGGCAACGAUACGUAGCCGACCUGAGAGGGUGAUCGGCCACACUGGAACUGAGACACGGUCCAGACUCCUACGGGAGGCAGCAGUAGGGAAUCUUCCGCAAUGGGCGAAAGCCUGACGGAGCAACGCCGCGUGAGUGAUGAAGGUCUUAGGAUCGUAAAACUCUGUUGUUAGGGAAGAACAAAUUUGUUAGUAACUGAACAAGUCUUGACGGUACCUAACCAGAAAGCCACGGCUAACUACGUGCCAGCAGCCGCGGUAAUACGUAGGUGGCAAGCGUUAUCCGGAAUUAUUGGGCGUAAAGCGCGCGUAGGCGGUUUCUUAAGUCUGAUGUGAAAGCCCACGGCUCAACCGUGGAGGGUCAUUGGAAACUGGGGAACUUGAGUGCAGAAGAGGAGAGUGGAAUUCCAUGUGUAGCGGUGAAAUGCGCAGAGAUAUGGAGGAACACCAGUGGCGAAGGCGGCUCUCUGGUCUGUAACUGACGCUGAUGUGCGAAAGCGUGGGGAUCAAACAGGAUUAGAUACCCUGGUAGUCCACGCCGUAAACGAUGAGUGCUAAGUGUUAGGGGGUUUCCGCCCCUUAGUGCUGCAGCUAACGCAUUAAGCACUCCGCCUGGGGAGUACGACCGCAAGGUUGAAACUCAAAGGAAUUGACGGGGACCCGCACAAGCGGUGGAGCAUGUGGUUUAAUUCGAAGCAACGCGAAGAACCUUACCAAAUCUUGACAUCCUUUGACCGCUCUAGAGAUAGAGUCUUCCCCUUCGGGGGACAAAGUGACAGGUGGUGCAUGGUUGUCGUCAGCUCGUGUCGUGAGAUGUUGGGUUAAGUCCCGCAACGAGCGCAACCCUUAAGCUUAGUUGCCAUCAUUAAGUUGGGCACUCUAGGUUGACUGCCGGUGACAAACCGGAGGAAGGUGGGGAUGACGUCAAAUCAUCAUGCCCCUUAUGAUUUGGGCUACACACGUGCUACAAUGGAUAAUACAAAGGGCAGCGAACCCGUGAGGUCAAGCAAAUCCCAUAAAAUUAUUCUCAGUUCGGAUUGUAGUCUGCAACUCGACUACAUGAAGCUGGAAUCGCUAGUAAUCGUAGAUCAGCAUGCUACGGUGAAUACGUUCCCGGGUCUCGUACACACCGCCCGUCACACCACGAGAGUUUGUAACACCCGAAGCCGGUGGAGUAACCUUUUAUUAGGAGCUAGCCGUCGAAGGUGGGA
rnacentral:rRNA from 1 species